AGCAGCCGCCGCGGGAAUACGUAGGUGGCAAGCGUUGUCCGGAAUUAUUGGGCGUAAAGGGCUCGCAGGCGGUUUCUUAAGUCUGAUGUGAAAGCCCCCGGCUCAACCGGGGAGGGUCAUUGGAAACUGGGAAACUUGAGUGCAGAAGAGGAGAGUGGAAUUCCACAUGUAGCGGUGAAAUGCGUAGAGAUGUGGAGGAACACCAGUGGCGAAGGCGACUCUCUGGUCUGUAACUGACGCUGAGGAGCGAAAGCGUGGGGAGCGAACAGGAUUAGAUACCCGCGUAGUCCCUGUCUCUUAUAC
rnacentral:rRNA from 1 species